GGAGGGUACAGCUCAGAGGUGGAGUGCGUGCUUAGCAUGCACAAGGUCCUGGGUUCAAUCCCCAGGACCUCCA
rnacentral:tRNA from 1 species